rfam:Microgenomates bacterium GW2011_GWC1_46_16 TX38_C0004, whole genome shotgun sequence.
GCCACCUUAGCUCAUCCGGUAGAGCAACGGUUUUGUAAACCGUAGGUGCUGGGUUCGAGUCCCAGAGGUGGCU